AUUCGCGCUGUUUGUUUUCCUAGGAAUCAGCUCUGUUUAAAACUUAUUUUUAUAUUUUUUAUCCAAUAUAAAUUAUUUAUUCGAAUAAAUUUAUAAUUAAAAGAAUUGUAUGAAGCGUACUAACAAAAAUUAUAAAAUUAAAUGCAUCAUUACUAACUCACAUCAAAUAAAUUAAACAAUUGAAUGAUAAAAUAAAAUUUUGAAAAUUUAGAUAGUCGAAUCAAAAUAAUCCAUAAUGCAAAUAUUUUUUGUCCGUUUUUAUGUUUCUUAUUAUUUUGUAUUUUGCUUGCAUGCAGUAUGGCUAAGUAAACAACAUUAUGUACUUUUUCGUUAUUUUCGACUAUGAGAUAUCUAAAUCGACGAUCGAUAUAGUUAGACUUAAUUAAACCUAAUCAUAUUUUUUAGGAACAACCAAAUUUUGUAACUUUCCGACACCACCGGCCUAACUUUUAUGUGGUCCCAAAAUUGAAAAUUUUUAAUAACUUAUACAAAAUGAAUUUAGUGUGUAAAAUCUUGAAAUUCGACUUCUAUGAAGUUCAAAUAGACUAAGGCUCCGUUUAGAAUUACAAAGAGAUUGUGUUACGUGCAAUAAAAAAAUAUGAUGAAAAAAAUGCAAUAAAUCAGCAAUAAUAUAUUUUCUGUAAUUCGAUCAAAAAAAUAAAAAAUACAUCUAUAUGCUUUUGCCUAUCAAAUAGAUCUUAAAUCACAUUUAACGGCACCGAUUUUGUUUACUAGUCAUUUUAAUCAAACAAUUGCUAUAGGUAAAAAUGUAUAAAACUUAACUAUCACCCAUUUACAAUUGGCUACCAUUAACAUUUGGAUAUAGAAGGAGUCAAGAAUAUUCCUUUGAUACAUUUAAAUUUUAUACCUGAAUAGCUAUCAAAUCAAUUAAAUCAAAUAAAUUAAAAAAUUUAGUACUAGAAUUAAAAUUUUGAAAGAUUGGACAGCGAAAUUAAAAUGGCUUAUAGGGUGCGUUUGAUUCGCAUUAUGAAAGAUUACUAGAAAUAAAAGAUAUUCGAGAAUCUUAUUCCUAUUCAUUCUAUUACUAAGAAUAUAGAAUUUCUGUAUUUGGUUUGCACGGUAAUAUUAAUUAGCCAUGUUGUUUAAUAUUACAAAAAAUAUACAAUUAAUUAAUUUAUUUAUUUAUUUAAUUUUAGAUAAUGUUACCAAAAGUUUCAACAUAAUUUUAGAAAAAAGGAAGAGAGAGUAUAAGUUAGAGAGAGAGAACAUAAUUAAAAAAAUAGAAAGAAAAAUAUAGUCGAAAUUAAAGGGAGAGAGAGAGAGUAGAAAUUUUAGAAAGAGAGAGAGAGAGAGAGAAAGCUUAGUUUAGAGAGAGAAAAAAAGUUGAAUUUUAGAGAGAAAAAUAAGUUUAGAGAGAGAUAGAAAUUUAGGGUGUAAAGAAAAAUAAUAUCAAUUAGCUGGCGGGUAAGAAGAAAAAAAAAAAAAUAGACAUAUUAUGAUUACCCCAAUCCAUUAAUAUGAGGAUACCCACCCUCCCUCAAGGGAAUGAGAUUAGUACUUUGGGGUGAAUCUUAUUCCCAAGUGAAUACAAUAUUACCAACUAGAUAGCGUUUAGCCAAACACCGUCAUAUUUUUUUAUUUUCAUUGAAUUACUAGGAAUCUUUAAAAAAUAGCGCGAAUCAAACGCACCCAAAGUUCAUUCAGAUAAAUUUUAUAUAUUUUUAAGAAGUGGCAAAUAUUCCCUU
rnacentral:lncRNA from 1 species